CCGUCGCUCUGCGCGCCCGCCCGCCGGAGCGCAGCAUCGCCUCCGGCCAGGAGUGUGCAUGCGUGGGCACGACCCGAAGUGCCCACCCUGGUUUAAUGCAGAAGCCAGGGUGGGACCCCGACCCUCUGCAAAAGGCGUGGACGUCCCAGGUGCGCGAGCUCGCACCUCUAGGGCAGGCUCGGUCCUGGGCAGAACCGAAGCUCACACUGAAGCCGAGUGCCAUCAGGGACUCACCUGAGAUAAUCCCCAGGAGCACAGGUCCCACUGAGGAGGACCCCCAUCUAGGACACAUGGAUACAUAAACAGGCAGGCACCUCGGCACAGCUCAGCGUGCUCUCACCGUGCUCUGCUCAGUGGAUUUCUCCUCCCGGAAGCCUGCCAGGCCUGGCGUUGGUUCUGGAUCCCCAUGGCGUGGUUCCCCACGGUGUUGUCUCGUCGUUGCCCAGGCUCCAGACAAGGAAGAGGAUGUGGAUGUUUGGACGGGCAGCUUGGAUCUACCUGUCGUGGAAGCUGUGAGUCCUCUGGGCUGGCGAAGCUGGACCAGAUGUCUGGGAGGGAAGUGAGCCAUCCCACCACCCUCUCCCGGAGAUAGGUGAAGGUUCACGCUCCCUGGCUGGAGGAGACCAGCAAGACCCAGGUUAGGCCAGCCAGAGGCCCCCUUGGGCCUUGAGCCCUCAAGUUAUGGCAUCAUCUGCUGGAAGGUCAAGUUGAACCCACAGUCUCAUGAUGGGAGAGGAUAGUUAACUCCCCUUAACAGUCAGGUCGGGGAGAUUGAAACAUCCAGCCUGAACCCCCAGGACGACUGAAGCUCUGGUUGGUUUCACACCUGGAGGAGGGGAACCUGCAGCUCAGGAAGACCUAUCAUUAGCUUGCCCAGCAUUGCAGAGCCAAGGCCCAUGCUUUUGGCAUCUCCCCGUUCCAUGACCUGGACCGGAGCUGCCCAGCUUUGGUGCACAUCAUGGUACAGAAGAAGUACAGGAGCCUUGACGGAGGAGCCUGCGAGGGUCAGGAGGCAUUCAGAGGAUCCAGCAUCGCCUAGGACAGGGAGCCUGCGGCUUCCCAGCUGGGAGGCGAUGUGCCGGGGGCGGGACCCAUGCAAGCCAGAUGCACAUGUGGCUGGAGUUCAUUUGCAGUGGCUGGAGGCC